AUUGAACGCUGGCGGCAGGCCUAACACAUGCAAGUCGAACGAGUGGCGGACGGGUGAGUAAUGUCUGGGAAACUGCCUGAUGGAGGGGGAUAACUACUGGAAACGGUAGCUAAUACCGCAUACCAUCAGAUGUGGCCAGAUGGGAUUAGCUUGUGGGUGGGGUAACGGCUCACCAAGGCGACGAUCCCUAGCUGUUCUGAGAGGAUGACCGGCAAAACUGGAACUGAGACACGGCCCAGACUCCUACGGGAGGAAGAAGUGGGGAAUAUUGCACAAUGGGCGCAAGCCUGCUGAAGCCAGGCGGCGUGUAUGAAGAAGGCCUUCGGGUUGUAAAGUACGUUCAGCGGGGAGGCGUUACCCGAAGAAGAAGCACCGGCUAACUACGUGCCAGCAGCCGCGGUAAUUC
rnacentral:rRNA from 1 species